AAGGCCAUGGCCUUGGACCUCUUAGGGCCCUGCCAGAAACCACAGCAGCUGGAGGUGACACCAAGGACCAAGUCCCCCUGCAGCCUCUGAGUCCCUGCAGGAGGAUACUUCUCCGGUGAGCAGGCGGGAGAAGUGUUGGAGAGUGCCGUCCUGGCCUUGUGUUCCCAGCUGAAAGACGACGCAGUUGCCCUGGUAGACGUGAUCGCUCCUCCUGACUUUAUUCUGGACUCACCGAUUGGCAGAGCCGACGGCGAGCUCUACAAAAACCUCUGGGGCGCUAUCCUGCAGGAAAGCAAGGCGUUGGAGCGGGCGUCCUGGUGGCCAGAGUUUUCUGUGAACAAACCUGUCAUAGGAAGUCUGAAAUCGAAGCUCUAGUGGGACCGGCACACAUUCAGCCAAGUCUAAUGAAACGAAGGGAACUAAUCAGACGUGGACCUCACCUUCUGAUUCCAGAACACGCCGGAAAUUGCUGCUGCCUUCUGAGCCCGCACCUCUGCGCCUAAACUGCUGAUUGGCCUCAACCGCCCAGGCGGACAGGAGGGAGGCGCCUGGCCAGCUGGGCUAAUCUGGGAUCGCGGUGAUUUGCAGCGUGGAAAAGAAAUGCAGAUGAUCAUGUCUACCUGA
rnacentral:sRNA from 1 species